CGCAAAAAAUCACCAUGAAGACCCGGCCCAUAAAAGAAGACUAUGAUGGACUCAAGAGUGGACCAAGCCCAAGCUAGACAUGUCAGUCAGAAGAGACCACUUCAAGAAGAUUGGGUGCGCCUUAUCUUCAGGGCGCGCCAAGUUGAAGCUUACAGAGAAAGAUCGUCAUUUGAAGGGCAGAAGGGGACAUAUUUUACCUAGGGGGACGCCCUUGGGUGUGUAUAGAUCCUACUGUUAAUUUGUCGAAGACUCUACCUUGUAGUCUGAGGAGUUGCCCUCCUUGGGAGAUAGAGAAUGAAGAUUAGAGGAGGCCUUGCUCUGUAGUCUGGCGAGUUGUCCUUGUCGGGGAGCUUGUGGAACCUUCUCGAAGAUACACCCUGGAAGGCUCUAUCUCUGUAGUCUGGCGGGUUGUCCCUGUCGGGGAGUAGAGAAGCGUCCUUGCAUUUGGGGUAAGUCUUGGGUGCUCGAGAGUCUACAAGACCCAAGACUAGGCCUCAUCGUAUUGGGCCCCUUUCAGGAGGAAGAUAGCAGAAGGGGAAGCCUAAUCCUAUUAGGUUUAGGUUUCCUAAGGAGAAAAGAACUACGUACUGGCUUGAUCCCCUAUAAAUAUAGGGGUACGUAGGCAAAUUAGGGGGACACGAGUUGGGAGCAUCUGGAGGCAACUCGAAACCCUAAUCUCAGCCACCCCUAAAAUUUCAUCACCACUGCUCAGCCACCGUCAUAGAUCUUGAUUCCGGCCAUGAACCUCGAAUUUUGUUAACUACCAAAUUCCUCCGUUAACAAAUUGGCGCUAGAAGGAGGGGCUAGUUUCAGGAUAACCAUCUUUGGAGGAAAGAUGUGCCAAGUUACGACAAUAAAAUAUAUGCACAAUCGGAAGGCAUGUAUAACACGGUGGACAGGUGAUGACCGUCGGAUCCAGGAGGGUCGCUUAAGGCAGUGAUACUGCAUACAGUGGCUACCCAGAUGGCGUCGGGACAGUUUGUAUGAGCAUCUAUAUACCUGCUUCAAAAUCAUAAGGGUAAUCGGAGAACUAGACUCGUUGGAAUCAUCAUCCACGUGAUAUGUGUGAUAUAAUCUCGCUUAUCAAAGAGAUAAGUUCUCUCUUUUCAUUAUUAAUUUUCUGCCAUUGUUUGUGUCAUAGAUUAAUAAGAUUUUACUCGAUUAAUACCUUAUAAGACAUAUACAUAUAUGAUAUACUUCAUAUUGAAUGCAUAGAGGACCUUAUUUAUAUUUAUACACGGAGAUAUUUGCGACAUAUAAUCUUAUUGUUCAUGAUGAAGAGACAAGAAAACAGAGGAUGAUUGCAGACUUGUUUAUUCAUAUGCAGAUGCUAGGACAACCAAAUUGUGUUGCGGCAAACUGGGAUUAAUAUAAAGAAAGUGUAUCAAAGCUGUUGGAUGGAGGCUACAUGGUGAAUGGUUAUUUAGGUGGCCAUUGUCAAAUAACCAAUAGGUGGGACUAAUUCAACUCCGAACUCUCUGCAUAAUAAAGGAAGGCUAGAAAGGGUGAAAAUCAGUUCGGUUAAUGAUGCAAGUCGACGUCCAAGACGUAAAACCAGAGAUGAGUCAAUUUAUUAUUAUUAUUAUUAUUAUUAUUAUUAUUAUUAUUAUUAUUAUUAUUAUUAUUAUUUAUUAAAUAAUUGCUUGCCCAUAAUUAUAAUAUGAUUUGUGUGAUAUGGUAUCAAUUUAUAUGAUUAUGACAUGACAUCUAUUAUAUGUUCUUUGCAGCUUAACCUCCUGAUUUUAUUAUAAUUUCUUGCAUGUGUUAAUUAUAUAUUGAAGUGCCAAUAUGUGAUUUUAUGCUUAUAAUAUGUAUUUAAGUGUCAACUUAAUUGAUGUAUUCGAUCUGUCCAUAUUUUUUUUAAAAAAAAAUUUAUGUGACCAUGUAGAUACAUUAGGUAGUUAGACUUUGCUCUGAGUUAUAUGUAUUACCCGAUUCCUGCAUAGAUGAACUCAUGUUAGUGUCAUUAUUUUUAUUAUAUCCGUGGUAACUGUGUGCCUUGACUUGAAUUCAAUGUCAUAUUUUAAUAUAUUAAAAAUUUAGAAUGUGCAGAUAAGUUGUUAGCAAUCGAUAGUAAGAGUGUAUUUUAGCUCUUAAUUUGGUAUAGUCGUUAAUUGAUAUAUAGUUGAUAAAUUGUCUUCCUUACAUGAUAAUAUUUCACUGAGAGUUGGGUGAUUAUGCAUUAAAGUGAGUUAUUUCAUGCAUAAUAAUUUAUCAUAUAUUCUUAUAAAUUGUGUUUUGGAAUUCGAAUAUAUUAUAUUUUCAAAGAAACUUGAACAGAAAGGUUAGGUAAAAGAUGCAGGAGAACCGCGAUGUUUAUUCUUCACGUAUAAUCGGAGUCGGAGGAAGCAAUAUAAUUAUAUAAAGCUAGCAGCUUCAGGAUCAAAUAUUGGUCCUAAUAAAAGAUAAGUUUUCUAAUUUCUAUUAUUUGGAAUCUUCAUAUUAUAUAUAUGUUCGUUUUUAUUCCUAAAAGUAAAAAAGAAAUUAUACCAUUUUUGAAUAUAUUAUAUGUGUUCACGCUCAUAAUUUUAUAUUCAAGUAAUUAUUGUAUAGUCCAAGGGAAAAAAAACCUUUUCAGAUGAAGUCGAGCCACCAUGCCAAGUUGCAAGAUACACAGGAGUGAGUGUAAAGCAGCACACGGGCAUAAAAGAUUGAGAUAAGUUUACUCAAUUCCUAUCUUGUAUUUGUAACAUGCAUACAGUUUAACCAAGUGAAACAGUAAGGGCUAUGAGGCAGGCAGGCCAAAAAUUUUAGAGACUCAAGAAGCUGGGGUUGUCUAGAAAAAAUAUGAGUCGAGCAAUCAUCAAAGUCGCGAUAAGUUUUCAUCUCAUAAUUUAAUUCAUUUUUUCUACAAAUAUUAUUUAGAUCCGAAAUUUCCCGAAGAUUAUUAUUUGCGUGUCUUCUAAGUGCAUAUAAUAGACGGAGAUAUGAACAACAAAAAGUAUAAAAAAUGGGAGGAAGCCAAAGGUUUCGUGAGAUUACAGAAGUUUAUGGGCGUCCCUGAUAUGAGAUGAGGAAAAGGAAGGAAUGAUCAAAUACAUUGCAUGAGGCUUGGAACAAGUCAGUUGCGGUUUCGACACUGAAACGAUAAGUUCUCUAAUACUAGUUUUUAUAUCGCGUAAAUAAUGGCGCUGUGCAUUAAUAACAUUUUCUCAUGCAAAUAGAUAUUGUUUUAUAAUUAGUACGCUAUGAAUAUGUGUUUAAAAAUUUUAUGUGUAUAUUUAUUUCAAAAAAAAAUAAAAAUUUAUACGUAUUCUAGAUAUUUAAAAUUAUGAUUAUAUUAAAGUGCAUAAGUUAUCUUUAUAAUAUUCUAACAUGCAUAUUAUAUCAAUUUAAGUUCAUGCAUGGAUUUUGUUGUUAUUAUGUGACAUAUUAUUAAUUUAUUAUGUGCCAUAUGUUGUGAUUAAAUUACUUUUAUACUAAAAAAAAUGUACUUGGAGGACUUGCGAAUUGUGAUACUUCAGGGCAGGUGAAACUAGAAGCAUGAAAUCUCUUCUAAUAUGCGCCUCCAAAUUUAACUCAUUAGAGAUAAGUUUUCUACCUUUUUCUUUUAAUUUAUCUACUUUGCAAUUUUAUAUAAAUUUAUGUCAUGCAUUAUUAUGUUAUAAAUGUAUUGUUGCUUUAUAUAUUCUACAAAUUUAUGUAAAUUUUUGAUGAUUAAGAUAUAUCGUGUCUCUGUGUUUAACCCCCAAUAUUUUAUUUAUAAUAACUUGCUCUCAGUAUAAAAGUGCAGGUUUCCUAACAUGAAUUGCUUAGAGGUGCUACCUAAUAUUUAGAAUACCAGUGGUUUCAAUUGAUUGUUUUGCAGGGAAGAAAUUUCUAAAUGGACGUGUUUUUAAUUCUAAUAUACUCGUUAGUUGAAAGUUUUGCAGGAUGAAAAUAAUGUGAAUGGAGAAGGAAUAAGAUAUUUACAAAAUGUGUCUUCCCCUAACAAGGCACGUCACGAGAGACACGUCCAACACUCCAGUCUUCAAGAUUCAGAGUAAAUAUGUCACAACACAUCUUCGCAACACUGUCUUCUCCAACUUGCAUCUUCAAGUCAAGCUCAUACUCCGAAACUGGGGGGUGAUCAUACAAAUUAGAAGAAGGAUUUGGAUAAAAAGGGCGCGCCUCAUCCUCAUCUUCAGCCUCGGCUUCCGCGGCCUCAUCUCUCCUUCAUUCUUGGCUUCCGUGGCCUCUCCUUCAUCCCUGGCUUCCGCGGCCUCUCCUUCAGCCUCGGCUUCCACGGCCUCAUCUUCAUCAACUCAGUCUUGGCUUUCGCGGCCUCUCAUUCAGCCUCGGCUUCCGCGGCCUCAUCUUCAUCAACUCAGUCUUGGCUUCCGCGGCCUCUCAUUCAGCCUCGGCUUCCGCGGCCUCAUUCUCUGCAACCUCGCCAUUGUCUCUAUCAAGCAAACACUGCCUUCACCUCCGUUAGGCAGAAUCAUCGUCAUCUUCAAACAACUCCUUCAACAUUGGCUUCAGAGGAAAUUUCUUCAACAUAUGGCGCGUCUAGUUAAAGAACGUCAACAUCUUCUGCAUCAGCAAAGAACAACCAAGAUAGGACAUCUUAGGGGAUGAAGAACAUCAAGAUCUCGUCGACAUCUUCAAUGCCACCAAGAUCUGGGGGGUAGUUGUUAUACGCAAAAAAUCACCAUGAAGACCCGGCCCAUAAAAGAAGACUAUGAUGGACUCAAGAGUGGACCAAGCCCAAGCUAGACAUGUCAGUCAGAAGAGACCACUUCAAGAAGAUUGGGUGCGCCUUAUCUUCAGGGCGCGCCAAGUUGAAGCUUACAGAGAAAGAUCGUCAUUUGAAGGGCAGAAGGGGACAUAUUUUACCUAGGGGGACGCCCUUGGGUGUGUAUAGAUCCUACUGUUAAUUUGUCGAAGACUCUACCUUGUAGUCUGAGGAGUUGCCCUCCUUGGGAGAUAGAGAAUGAAGAUUAGAGGAGGCCUUGCUCUGUAGUCUGGCGAGUUGUCCUUGUCGGGGAGCUUGUGGAACCUUCUCGAAGAUACACCCUGGAAGGCUCUAUCUCUGUAGUCUGGCGGGUUGUCCCUGUCGGGGAGUAGAGAAGCGUCCUUGCAUUUGGGGUAAGUCUUGGGUGCUCGAGAGUCUACAAGACCCAAGACUAGGCCUCAUCGUAUUGGGCCCCUUUCAGGAGGAAGAUAGCAGAAGGGGAAGCCUAAUCCUAUUAGGUUUAGGUUUCCUAAGGAGAAAAGAACUACGUACUGGCUUGAUCCCCUAUAAAUAUAGGGGUACGUAGGCAAAUUAGGGGGACACGAGUUGGGAGCAUCUGGAGGCAACUCGAAACCCUAAUCUCAGCCACCCCUAAAAUUUCAUCA